AGAGUUUGAUCCUGGCUCAGAGUGAACGCUGGCGGCGUGCUUAACACAUGCAAGUCGAGCGAAUUUUGGCAGCGUAUCGCCAAAGUUAGCGGCAGACGGGUGAGUAAUACUUGNGGUAAUCUACCCUUGNAGUGGGAAACAACCUGCCGAAAGGCGGGCUAAUGUCCCAUAAGACCACAGGAGCGCAUGCUCCAGGGGUCAAAGGUCCGCAAGGGCCGCUUAUGGAGGAACCCGAGUCCUAUCAUGGUAGUUGGUGAGGUAACGGCUCACCAAGCCUUUGACGGGUAGCCGGCCUGAAAGGGUGAUCGGCCACACUGGCACUGAGACACGGGCCAGACUCCUACGGGAGGCAGCAGUGGGGAAUUUUGGACAAUGGGGGCAACCCUGAUCCAGCGACGCCGCGUGGAGGACGAAGGUCUUCGGAUUGUAAACUCCUUUUAGAGGGGAUGAAUGCCUGCGUGAAUAACGCAGGGUGACAGUACCCUUUGAAUAAGCCACGGCUAACUACGUGCCAGCAGCCGCGGUAAUACGUAGGUGGCAAGCGUUACUCGGAAUCACUAGGCGUAAAGCGCAGGUAGGCGGUUCGGUAAGUCUUUUGUGAAAGCUCCUGGCUCAACUGGGAGAGGUCAAAGGAAACUGCCGGGCUANAGUUUGGUAGGGGAGACUGGAAUUCCUGGUGUAGCGGUGAAAUGCGUANAUAUCAGGAGGAAUAC
rnacentral:rRNA from 1 species